GUCCUCUCCACGGUGCCCCGUGCCCAGGGAGGAAGGAGCCAGCACAGAGCUGGGGCACGGAACUCACGGGAUGUUGAAGAGCAGCUCCUCAUCAUCAUCGCUCUCCACGAACUGGGGAGAGAGAAGAGCAGCCUGGCCAGGCCCAGCUCCCGCAGCCUCCCCUCAUCACAGAGAUGCUCCAGACCCCAAACCAUCUUUGUGUAACCCCAAAUCAUCCUCCUGCCGUGCUGAGAAGCCCAGCCCAACACCGCACCGAGCUGUGCCUCCCUCGGGCCACGAACCCCUCCGUGCCCUCUGCCCCCGGUGCCAGCGCCGCUCCCGGCCCCACCUGCGAGCGGUCCCCGCGCUGCUCCCAGGGCCGGAACACGGUGGCUCCGGAGCCCUCGCGGCGCUCGUUGAGGCACUGCAGGCGCUGCCGGUCGAUGCGCAGGUACAGCCCCCAGGCCGCGCCGCUCUCCGCCGCCUCCGCCCCGCAGCACCGGCACCGGCCGGGCCCGUGCGCCAUGGCCGCGCCGGUGCCGCC